GGUCGGGUCCCAUGCGACUACGGACUAACGAACCCCGUCAGGCCCGGAAGGGAGCAGCGGCAGUUUCGUUUGUGUGCGCUGUGGGGUGCCUGGCCUUU
rnacentral:SRP_RNA from 1 species